rnacentral:rRNA from 1 species
UACGAAGGGGGCUAGCGUUGUUCGGAAUUACUGGGCGUAAAGCGCACGUAGGCGGACUAUUAAGUCAGGGGUGAAAUCCCGGGGCUCAACCCCGGAACUGCCUUUGAUACUGGUAGUCUCGAGUCCGGAAGAGGUGAGUGGAAUUCCUGGUGUAGCGGUGAAAUGCGCAGAUAUCAGGAAGAACACCCGUGGCGAAGGCGGCUCUCUGGUACGUGACUGACGCUGAGACGCGAAGGCGUGGGGAGCAAACAGG